ACUCUCUAAAGACUAUCCCAACUUAGCUAGCUCGUGGGGUCACUAAAGUCAAAAUUCGUUGUACAUUUAUGAAGAAAUAACUUUGAAGAUAACUUAUCUACAAAGUUGGUGUGCUCAAGUAAAUACCCUAGUCAAUUUUAACAUUUUCCUCUAAAGCUGCUUGGUUCAUAUAUUUGGUUACUUUUUUUUUUUUUUAAAUGUGCUAGAUAAGCAUCAAGGGGUGGUUGGAGGUGGAUUACUUAUAAAGUUAGAUUAUCAUAGAAUGGUCUAGAAAUUAGACAAAAAAAAAAAAAAAAAAGGGAGAUGAAGGGUUGUUUCUUAGACACAUUUAUGUAGGAUCACAUCAUGGCAUCGUCAUCUUCUUCUUCUUCUUUUUUUUCUUUUUUUUUUUUUUUUGUCUCAUUUGUAAUAAUUUUUUUCUGUAUAGGGCUCGAACCUUCGACCAUGAGAUUGAGUGUUUAGACCCAAACCCACUAGGACAGAGGUAGACCGGUUAGUCUCAUUUAUUUCUGUCAACUAAGUUAUUCACCAUCUAUAAUUAUUUUUAACCAUUUUGCCUAAAGUUGCAGCAUUUGUCCCACUAAGCUCACUGCUCAGGUACUUGAGUUACCAGUUUCUCUUAAAUGUGCUAGAUAAGCAUCGUGAUAUGUGGAGCUGAAUUACAUAGAGAGUUAAGGGUGCACACAGAACAAAUUAGACAUAAAAUUUAAUCCAAUCCUAUAUUAGUCUUAAACCGAUCCGAUCCAAUCCGUGAAACAUUGGAUUGGCUUUACAGAUUGGUCUUUUUAUAAAUGGUCCAAUAAUUUUUUCUUUUAGACUAAUGUGAGAUUGAGAUAACAUAAUCCAAACAUAGCCCUAGUUGAUGGUUUGUAAUGAUCCAUAAAAAAUGUUGCCAUGGCAUGCUUUUUGGCUACUCAGAUUGUUACUCUUCACUUAUUGAUCACAUGACAUUGUAGAAGCUUUUUUGUUCUGCAGUCAUGCAAAUAGUAUUGUUGAUGAAAUUGCAACUACAAUAGCAAAUUGUACCCUUUUCAACUACAUAUAAAGGUAGCUAAUAAUGAACUAAAAAAAGGCAACAGAUCAAUGUCUAGUUUAUAUAUUACAGGAGCAAGAAAUCAAUAGUAAAGAAAGAAAUUAGAUUAAGCUAGGUUUAGGGUUAAAAAGAGUGUCAUAUAUAUGUACUAGUUAUAUAUAUUAUAUAGGUUAUGGAUGAAUUGAAUUCACAGAUCGGAUUGGUUUUUUUGAGACCUAAAUUCGUGAACUGAUGUUAUCCAUGCAGAUUACUUAUUUAUGAAUCCACCAUCGAACCAAUUGACUAAAAACUAAUUUAAAACGCACGUAUCAGACUGAGUUGGAUUGGAUUCAUGGAUCAAAUGAACACUCUUAAUAGAGUUAGAUUAUCAUAGAAUGGUAUAGAAAUUAGACAAAAAUGAAGUUAGUAUGGGAGGCACAAUGAGCAUGAACAAAUCUAGGUCUAGUCUAUUAAGUGGGGAGAAGCUACCUCGUGGGUCAGUCAAAUUCUUUUGUACAUUUAUGGUGAAAUAACUUAAAAGAUGAUUUUCCUGCAAAACUAUCAUUAAAAGAGCAUUUAUUUUGAAACUGCCCUUGAUUUUGUGAAUCCCUUAAAAUUAUUUUUCAAAGAGUAAUAAUACACAAGUAAAUCCACUUGAAUUAAAAUUCUUAAAAAUGCCAUCAUCUGAGUUUUUUUGGGGUAAGUAAGAUAAUUCAUAAAUGUUAAAGUGUAUACAUAUAGAAACUUGGCCCAUUUGGGCAACAGAUCAAAAACAAAAAAAAGCAAAAGGAAGCCAAGUGAAAACACCAAGGCAUAGAAAAUAGGCCCAAGCUAGAAGCCCAAAUAGGCCAUUGCGGGAGCAUCAACAUUCAUACAUUGAAAGUAUCAGAGAGGGUUCUAUAAGGCAGCUAAGAAAAGGAGAAAAAAGGGUUUGUCAAGUUUGGCUCAAAGGAGGGGGAAGGUCAUUUGCUAUAGUCAUAAGAGCAUUCACAUUUCUUGAUGUUGAAUAUCCGUAACCUCACCGAAUCGAUUGUCAAGUUCAGAAUCUUCAAUGGAACAGUUAAUUUGUUCCUGAAGAUGCGAUUGUUUCCCUCCUUCCAUAUGUGAUAGACAAAACUUGCUAAACCUUGAGACAUAAGAAGCAAACAUUUGGUUGCAUGGUGAAGUGGAGGGAUGGUUUGUCACCAGAGGCAAAAUGAUUUUUGUACCUGAUCAUUGAAGUUGCUACUUGGAUUUGUCACUCAAUCAAGCUACCGAAAUCAUUCAACAACCAGAAUUAGCUGAAGUAAGAAGCGGAUCGUGAUUGCAUUGCCGUGGAUCAUUGUAGGUGAUAAGUUUGAAGGCACAGGAAUCGAAGGCACGAGUAAAAGAUAAUCAAAGACAAGUAAUUCUGAAACUCUUGAUUCUAAGGCCUGAGUAUUCUGGAAUCUCUGCGAGUAUUCUGCGUACUCACACUUGGUAUAAGAGCAGGUUGCUCUAAAUCCUGAGCAAGAUUUCAGUACUUUUUUUUUUCAAAAUUCUUUUGAAAAGUUAUGUUAUUGAAAAAUUGUGGAUUCUCCUAGAAAGGGUGGAUGGAUAGGUGUGGAUAAAAUUUUGUGCUUUGUGGAAUGAUUAAGAAUUGACUUUGGCUAAUGUUAAUUCUAAAGCAUGAAAUGUUAAUUUUUAACGUUGUGUCA